UACGAAGGUCCCAAGCGUUGUUCGGAAUCACUGGGCGUAAAGGGUGCGCAGGCGGCGAGGCAAGUCGGACGUGAAAUCCCGGGGCUUAACCCCGGAACUGCGUUCGAUACUGCUUUUGCUUGAGGACUGGAGAGGAGACUGGAAUUCCUGGUGUAGCAGUGAAAUGCGUAGAUAUCAGGAGGAACGCCAAUGGCGAAGGCAAGUCUCUGGACAGUUCCUGACGCUCAUGCACGAAGGCCAGGGGAGCAAACGGG
rnacentral:rRNA from 1 species